ACUUCCAUGUUAGACACAACCCAACGCACUAGUACAAACCUAUGCGAGUUGAGCAGUCAUUUUAGGUACAGUAGUAGAUAACCUACAUAAAAUGGGACAUAACAAGGAUCACAUGCGACCCAUGCCCAUAUCAUGUUCUAUAUUAAAGAGACCAAGCAGCGUUCAAUACACCACCACAUCAACAAACCUGUUCAUGUUGUGGCUCAAAGAAACAGCAUUAUGGUUUCAUCUGAUGUCAUGAGCAUGACACAAGACAAAAGAAACUAUUACAACCGAAAAAGAUACCUUAUGUAUGAGGCAUACAAAACAGAAAACCCACAAUUUAGUCAGGCCAGAUAAGCCGUAACAUAUGAAUGCAAGGUAUGCCAGGUGGAAGUUGUUGCACAAGCAAAAAAGCCAACCACCAUUAACAAACC
rnacentral:misc_RNA from 1 species